CUUCCUUAACCACGAUAGGGAGAUCUUCAGGAGAACUUGCUGCAGCUUCUACAAGAGCACCUGCUGCUUCACCGGCUGUAGUUAUAUCCUUAUGGGAAGAGGAAAAUGAGCCAUGGCAGAAGUGCAACUAUAUUUGAACUGAGAAGGAACAAAGGAACUGUUCAGUCUGUAACUCAGAUAAUUAGCUUCCAAGAAACGAAAUUAGUGGAAUAAACCCUCCGGGGGUUGAGUAUUUUAUUCCA